rnacentral:lncRNA from 1 species
GCAGCCGGCUUCUCUCUCUUAAUCUAAAAGUCUGCAUCCGGCGGCUACACUGUAAAGUCGGUUGCAGAUAAUCCAAGUCAAAUCCUACCUAAUUUGUACAACUCAAUCAAGCUCAAAUGGUAGUAAUAUUCAAGAAAGGUAGCAUUAGAAACCAUGUUUCUCAUAAAGUUGACUUAAAUGGAAUGAAAAAUGAACACUCAUUAAUUAAUAAAAGUUGAGAACAAAAUGAACAAACAAUAAAUUAACUUAAAAAAAAACACUUAAAAUUUGUAAGUAAAAGUAUAAGGUAUGGUAUAUUACCCUUAUAAGCAGCCAAUUGAUCACAAAAGGAGAUUGAAGUGGAAGUGAGCUUCAAGUAACUUGAAGAAUUAUUGUGUUGAUUGGAGGCUGCAGUGAUGAAGUGUGUUGUUCAUACAUAAAGGGAACUAGCUUUUGGCUUUUACCUUCCACGUGAACUGUAUUGCACACCUCAAAUAUUAUGCCUCGUGUAGGAUAAAGUACUUAAAAAUGGUUUUUUAUGAUUAUUAGAAAAAGUUAAAUAUACUUGAGUUCUCUAUAAUUUUGGGACAUUUUUGCUUUACCAAGUUUGAUUCUUAAUUGCUU